GUGCACCAGGCGCGAAAACUUCACAAUGUGCGAAAGCACGAUGAGGGAAUCCCAAGUGCUUGCACGUAAGUGUAAGCUGUUUCUCUGUCUAAAACGCAGAGAGAGUAAGGGCUGGGUAAGACGGGUGCCAGCCGCCGCGGUAAUACCUGCAGCUCGAGUGGUGACCGUUAUUAUUGGGCCUAAAACGUCCGUAGCCGGUUUAAUAAAUGCCUGGGUAAAUCGGACCGCUUAACGGUUCGAAUUCCGGGUAGACUGUUAAACUUGAGACCGGGAGAAGUUAGAGGUACUCCUGGGGUAGAGGUGAAAUUCUGUAAUCCUAGGGGACCACCAGUGGCGAAGGCGUCUAACUAGAACGGGUCUGACGGUGAGGGACGAAGCCCUGGGGUGCAAAC
rnacentral:rRNA from 1 species